UGGGGAAUAUUGCGCAAUGGGCGAAAGCCUGACGCAGCGACGCCGCGUGAGGGAUGAAGGUUUUCGGAUCGUAAACCUCUGUCAGAAGGGAAGUAACCGCACUGUGCUAAUCAGCAGUGCCUUGACGGUACCUUCAAAGGAAGCACCGGCUAACUCCGUGCCAGCAGCCGCGGUAAUACGGAGGGUGCAAGCGUUAAUCUGAAUUACUGGGCGUAAAGCGCACGUAGGCUGCUUUGUAAGUCAGGGGUGAAAUCCCACGGCUCAACCGUGGAACUGCCUUUGAUACUGCUUAGCUUGAAGCCGGGAGAGGGUGGCGGAAUUCCAGGUGUAGGAGUGAAAUCCGUAGAUAUCUGGAGGAACAUCAGUGGCGAAGGCGGCCACCUGGACCGGUAUUGACGCUGAGGUGCGAAAGCGGGGGGAGCAAACAGG
rnacentral:rRNA from 1 species